rnacentral:rRNA from 1 species
AUUGAACGCUGGCGGCAUGCCUUACACAUGCAAGUCGAACGGCAGCACGGGUGCUUGCACCUGGUGGCGAGUGGCGAACGGGUGAGUAAUACAUCGGAACAUGUCCUGUAGUGGGGGAUAGCCCGGCGAAAGCCGGAUUAAUACCGCAUACGAUCUACGGAUGAAAGCGGGGGACCUUCGGGCCUCGCGCUAUAGGGUUGGCCGAUAGCUGAUUAGCUAGUUGGUGGGGUAAAGGCCUACCAAGGCGACGAUCAGUAGCUGGUCUGAGAGGACGACCAGCCACACUGGGACUGAGACACGGCCCAGACUCCUACGGGGGGCAGCAGUGGGGAAUUUUGGACAAUGGGCGAAAGCCUGAUCCAGCAAUGCCGCGUGUGUGAAGAAGGCCUUCGGGUUGUAAAGCACUUUUGUCCGGAAAGAAAUCCUUGGCUCUAAUACAGUCGGGGGAUGACGGUACCGGAAGAAUAAGCACCGGCUAACUACGUG